GAUGAACGCUGGCGGCGUGCCUAAUACAUGCAAGUCGAGCGAACAGACGAGGAGCUUGCUCCUCUGACGUUAGCGGCGGACGGGUGAGUAACACGUGGAUAACCUCCCUAUAAGACUGGGAUAACUUCGGGAAACCGGAGCUUAUACCGGAGAAUAUCUUGAACCGCAUUGUGCAAUAGUGAAAGACGGUUUUGCUGUCACUUAUCGCGGGAUCCCCGCCGCAUUAGCUAGUCGGUCAGGUCACGGCUUAUCAAGGCAACGAUGCGUAGCCGACCGGAGUGGGGGGUAGGCCACACGAGAGCGGAGACACGGACCAGAGUACUACGGGAGGCAGCAGUAGCGAAUCUUCCGCAACGGGGGAGAGCUUGACGGAGCAACGCCGAGUGAGUGAUGAAGGUCUUCGGUGCGUAAAAAUGUGUUAUUAGGGAAAAACAAAUUUGUAAGUAGCUAUGCAGGUCUUGACGGUAACUAAUCAGAAAGCCACGGCUAACUACGUG
rnacentral:rRNA from 1 species